UACGGAGGGUGCGAGCGUUGUCCGGAAUCACUGGGCGUAAAGGGCGCGUAGGUGGCGCGGGCAGUCAACGGUGAAAGUUCGGGGCUCAACCCCGAGUCGGCCGUCGAUACUCCCGGGCUCGAGCACUGUAGAGGCUAAUGGAAUUCCGGGUGUAGCGGUGGAAUGCGUAGAGAUCCGGAAGAACACCGGUGGCGAAGGCGGUUAGCUGGGCAGUUGCUGACACUGAGGCGCGACAGCGUGGGGAGCAAACAGG
rnacentral:rRNA from 1 species